rnacentral:rRNA from 1 species
UACGUAGGGUGCAAGCGUUAAUCGGAAUUAUUGGGCGUAAAGCGUGCGCAGGCGGUGAUGUAAGACAGGUGUGAAAUCCCCGGGCUUAACCUGGGAACUGCAUUUGUGACUGCAUCGCUGGAGUGCGGCAGAGGGGGAUGGAAUUCCGCGUGUAGCAGUGAAAUGCGUAGAUAUGCGGAGGAACACUGAUGGCGAAGGCAAUCCCCUGGGCCUGCACUGACGCUCAUGCACGAAAGCGUGGGGAGCAAACAGG